rnacentral:rRNA from 1 species
GAGGGGCCCGCGCCCGAUUAGCUUGUUGGUAGGGUAACGGCCUACCAAGGCCUUGAUCGGUAGCCGGUCUGAGAGGAUGGCCGGCCACACUGGAACUGAGACACGGUCCAGACUCCUACGGGAGGCAGCAGUGGGGAAUCUUGCGCAAUGGGCGAAAGCCUGACGCAGCGACGCCGCGUGGGGGAUGAAGCUUCUCGGAGUGUAAACCCCUUUCGACCCGGACGAAUGGCCCGCAAGGGACGUGACGGUACGGGUAGAAGAAGCCCCGGCUAACUACGUGCCAGCAGCCGCGGUAAGACGUAGGGGGCCAGCGUUGCUCGGAAUUACUGGGCGUAAAGGGUCCGUAGGCGGUGCGGCAAGUCGGGGGUGAAAUCUCUGGGCUUAACUCAGAGGCUGCCUCCGAAACUGCCGUGCUCGAGUGCGGGAGAGGCGAGCGGAAUUGCAGGUGUAGCGGUGAAAUGCGUAGAUAUCUGCAGG